rfam:Actinomadura sp. CNT-125 NODE_28_length_58995_cov_97.897_ID_8561, whole genome shotgun sequence.
AGCGGACCGGCUCUACCCCCCCGGAGCCGGAUCCGUUCGGCGACCCCCGCUCUCCCCCCCCGGCGGGGGUCGCCCAAU